rnacentral:tRNA from 1 species
GGCCCCGUAGCUCAGCUGGAUAGAGCAUCCCCCUCCUAAGGGGAAGGUCGCCCGUUCGAAUCGGGCCGGGGUCACCA